rnacentral:misc_RNA from 1 species
CCAGCGGUGCCGCGCCGGGCGCCCCGCGUUCGGGCCAGUUCCGACCGGUCGGCGUUGGGGUGAGGGCUGAUCGCGCUGUCGUACGCGCCUCGUCGGCUGUGUGUAACAGCUGUUGCGUAGUACACGGUACGGGUCGCGUGCGUCGAUUGGGGGACUGCGUCGGCGCGCGUCGGUGGUUCGGGGGAGUGCGUGGAGUCGGGACGCGUCGGUGGCAGGCUGUGCGGCGGUGAGCGACAGUCAACGCUAGCGCGGUGUCGCUGCUCGCCUGCUGACGUGAGGAGAGCUGCAACGACCGGUUGGACGAGGCCAGCGCUGGGUUCGGAGAGGACCAGCAUGGACAACAUGGUGACGCGCUGGCUGGAGAAGCUGAGGGAGAACCCGCCGCCCUGGCAGGGGGUGGUCGUCUGCGUGUGCGGCUUCGUCCUGGAGCUGACUCUCGGGGCUAUCUUCACAUUUGGCAACUUGACCACCUACAUGACGUCCUACAUGAGGGACCGCCUGGAUCCCACCAUCAACUACGCCCAGCUGAUGUGGGUCUCGGCGAGCCUGUCUUUCUUCGAGGGUCUGACCCUCUCCCUGGGUAGCUGGCUGACCAACAGGAUCGGCGCCCGAUGGACAGCCUUCAUCGGGUGCUCACUGGUCACGUCGGGGGUGUCGUUGUGCUACUUCGCCGUGCAGCACUCUGUCUGGUUGGUGGCUCUGCUGUUCGGCGUCAUCAAUGGACUCGGAGUCGGCAUCGCCUACGUGGUGCCUCUCGUCUGCGGCAUGUCGUGGUUUCCGAAUUCAAAAGGAACAUCUAACGGCUUCAUUGUCGGAGGGUUUGGCCUCGGAGCUCUCGUAUUCAACAGCAUGCAAACGGCGUUUCUGAAUCCCAACAACAUCUCCCCAGCGGAAGACGGCUACUUCAAGGACCAGCAGCUGCUGUCCCAGGUGCCGUACGUCUUUCUCCUUACCGGCGGCGUCUACAUCGUCCUGCAGGCUCUGGCCAUUGCCGGCAUGAUCAAGAAGCCGGUGCCGCUCAAAGAGAGCGAUGACUGCCAGGAGCUCGGCGUGGAACUGCAGGCGACCGCCGACGGGAUGAAGCCCGAGGACCCGUCCUCCGACCCCGGCGCGGCCGACCAGGAGCCAGAGGAGGGUAGCGCGGCCGACUACAGCAGCAGCAUGACCAUCAUGCAGGCCGUGAAGACGCCGACCUUCUGGCAGCUGUUCGUCACCUAUCUCUGCAACAAUCUCUGCAUCGGCUUCAUCAACCCGCUCUGGAAGACGUUUGGACAGCAGUUUAUUCAGGACGACCGUUUCCUGUCCGCCGUGGGCUCGGCAGCUUCUGUGUUUAACCUGUUGGGACGCGUCAUCUGGGGCUUCGUCAACGACAGGACCAACUACCGGGUGGCGAUGCUGGGAGUGGCCGGUCUUCUCCUGACCAUGUUCGCUACUCUGUACCUGACCAUCCACGGCGGGAAGGCCAUGUUCCUCAUCUGGGUGUGCCUCGUCUACAUGUCUUUCCCGGGCACCUUCUCCAUCAUGCCGGCUGAGGUGGCCCACGUCUUCGGUCUGCAGCACGCCGGCGAGAUAUACGGCCUGAUCUGGCUCAGCGGCGGCCUGGUGGCGCCCAUCCCCGUGUUUCUCACCGACCUGCUGCUGCAGAGGUUCGGCUACCUGGCGCUCUUCCUCACAUCGGCCGUCUUUCCGACACUCAGCGUGAUCUGCACACUGACCUUCCGUGGAGAGUCAACGAGGCGUCAGCGACUGCAACCCAAGGCGAUCAAAAACGGAAACUCGAUAUAAACUUUCUAAGUACGAGUACUUUUUUUGUUUAUUUGCAUUUAGCUUAAAAGUCUGAAUGAAUUGUAGUACCUAAUCAAGUUUCCACUAAGGAAAACCUGUUUUGAUUAUUCGCUAUUUAGUAGUAGGUACCCUAGUUGUUUAAUUGGUGGUUUAUACCUGAGCGAGCUACUCGGGCUCUUCAAUCUGGCUUUCUGCUUCAGGCGUAUGUUAAUGGUCCGUUUGUUUCCUAUGCCGCCAUGUUUGGUGACAAUGGUUGCGAAGUGCCUUGAUGUAUUCUCCCGGUUCUCUUUUUCAUGUAUCUCGCUCGUUUCUGUGCCUGGUGCCUUAGUUUCAUCUUCUUGUCAUUCAACAUUAUUGGGUGCUCUAGCAAGAAAUAUAUGGAAGACAAUUAAACAAACAAAUGUAGUUGACUUGUUCCUCGACAUGGAAAAUGCUCCAACCGAAAGCUCACCGUUUUUACUAUUCGGUUUGCCUUGUAGGUACCUUUUUGAUGUCGGGAAAAAUGUCAACUUCAUUUAUUUGUUUAAUUAUCUCCUUGUCAUUUAUUGGCCAGUUAUGUUAGACACAAAGCGUGUCUGCACUCAAUCGACUUAGCGGGUCCAUUCACAUGUAAGUGAUUUGUGCGUUUUCGCUUAUCGAAACUACGGUCAUGUACAAAUAUCAAGAGAGCGAUCAUGCAUUGAUGAGAUUCGGAACAGAGGCGGUCAUACGCCAAUGAAGUGAGCUGGGACAUGGCUUAGGUGAACAGUGAUGAUGCUUAAUUGUUUUUGGGGCUGCCUUAAUCAUGUAAUGGAAGUAUGACUGACUGUAAAAGAGUGUUUGAUAAUGUCAUAGUGUGGUUCAGCGUCAGAGAUUUGCUAUACGAAAUGUUUCACUGAAAAAGUCUUUGGUAGACGUUUGCGUAGCAAUGCUCUUAGCAUUGACACUUGAUACUAUGAACGGUAGUCCUUUGUGCUGCUUCGGGCUUCCUGCGAAUACGCGUAUGUAAUCCUUGUCGAAGGCGUAUUUUCUUCUCCGAGACCCGCUGACGCUGACCAUGUACAUGUGAAUGAUGUGUUGGCAUUAUAUAAGAUGUCGGGGUUCCGGGCACAAUACACUGUGUGCAGCU